rnacentral:rRNA from 1 species
CACCGGAGAGGGAGCCUGAGAAACGGCUACCACAUCCAAGGAUGGCAGCAGGCGCGCAAAUUACCCAAUCCCGACACGGGGAGGUAGUGACAAUAAAUAACAAUACGGGGUUCUUUAGGAUCUCGUAAUUGGAAUGAGUACAAUUUAAAUCUCUUAACGAGGAACAAUUGGAGGGCAAGUCUGGUGCCAGCAGCCGCGGUAAUUCCAGCUCCAAUAGCGUAUAUUAAAGUUGUUGCAGUUAAAAAGCUCGUAGUUGAAUUUCGGGGUUAGUAGGUUGGUCAUGCCUCUGGUAUGUACUGGUCUCACUGAUUCCUCCUUCCUUAUGAACCGUAAUGCCAUUAAUUUGGUGUUGCGGGGAAUUUGGACUGUUACUUUGAAAAAAUUAGAGUGUUUAAAGCAAGCUAACGCUUGAAUACAUUAGCAUGGAAUAAUGAAAUAGGACGUUCGAUCUUAUUUUGUUGGUUUCUAGGAUUGACGUAAUGAUUAAUAGGGAUAGUUGGGGGCAUUAGUAUUCAAUUGUCAGAGGUGAAAUUCUUGGAUUUAUUGAAGACUAACUACUGCGAAAGCAUUUGCCAAGGAUGUUUUCAUUAAUCAAGAACGAAAGUUAGGGGAUCGAAGACGAUCAGAUACCGUCGUAGUCUUAACCAUAAACUAUGCCGACUAGGGAUCGGAUGAUGUUAAUUUUUUAAUGACUCAUUCGGCGCCUUACGGGAAACCA